ensembl:lncRNA MAP4K3-DT MAP4K3 divergent transcript
CAGGCCGGGGCCGGCGGCGGAACAGCUUGGGACCCGAAACGCCUCGGCUUUUCUGCGGACCCGCGCCCGGCCGCUGCCGCCGGACGCUUGAAAAGAGGCAGAGUCUUGCUUUGUUGUCCAGGCUGGUCUUGAACUUCUGAGCUCAAGUGAUCCUCCCGCCUUGGCCUCCCAAAGUGCUGAGACUACAGAGAGAGAAUGCUAACGAGCUGUGAAAUGACCAAAGAUCUGGCAGCAGAAGGGAAAAGAAAAAAUAAUGGGAAGAAGAGGAUUUAUCUGACUCAACUGGAGAUGGCUCCCUUCCCUUAUUUAUUGUUGCAUCCUGAAGCUUCCCCCAUGCUGGGCUCAGUGUGAACAAACAGCGCGGGAGAAUGCAACCACUGCAGAGGUACAAGUUCACAGAGGCAGAGCCGCCCCUCGACUGGGCCAGAGGCAAAGACAAACCCCAAACUCUUUCUUGUCAUUCAUUGAAUUUUGCUGAACCUGGAAAGGAAAUAAAUUCCAAAGGCAGGAAGUGACCCAGAGACCAUAACAAUAUGUGAAAAGCUUAGCCGGUGCUUCCGCCCCUUUGUUUCAAACUAUUCUAAUCUGUGUCCCAGGAAGCCUAGCCCAUGGCCAGAUGGAGAUCUGUUUGCAGAUGCCUCCUGGCAUCUGCCACUCCCGGCUGGUGACAUUUGCACAUUUCAGAAGGCAAACCUGUCCCAACAUCUUCAAACUUCCAGAGAGGUGUAGCACCAGGAAAGUCCUUGGGUCUCUGGCUGUCAGCACCAACCAGCUGAUUUGCUUCAUCUGCAGCUGAACUGCUGCUGGACUCCAGCCUAGAACACUAGUGCACACCGGGUCUGUUCUUGAAGAUUUGCAGAUUCUGAAAUCAAAAUGCCCUGUGUUGCCAGAAAAGGCUGGCUCCCUUGCCUGCUUCAUAAUCCCUUCUCACCAGGCUUUCCUAAAGAAACUCAAUGAGUCAGGAAGGAAGAAAACAUGUCUGAGGGAGAUCUGGAGGCAUAUGUUUGAGAUACCUGGCCACUGGAGGUCAUCUCGUCUACUAUAUUCACCGCAGAUAAAGAAUGAAAAGAGAAUACACAACCUUGUGAUUGCUAGCAGUGAAAGCUCAGAGUUAUGACAUAACAAGUGGUUGAUCAUACUGUAAAACUCAAAUGUGAAGGGAAGGCUGGAACCUACUGGAAACUGAAGAUCUAACGAAAAGAAGGAACUUUUAGGAACUAGCAGAGACUUCAAAAUGUUGAGAACUCUCUUUUUUCAUAAGAGAAGAUAAAAACUCUGAUGGUCACACUCAUAAAGACAAAAAACAAAUAAAAAACAAACAAAAACUCAGAAUCACAAGAGCAAAGAAAAUGUAGGUAAAACAAUAACAGAAGAGGUAAAGAAAUUUAUGUGAAUUGGGACACUCUGGGGCACAGAACAGAAGAGGAGAAGAAACAUGAAAGUAAUGCUCUGCACAAGGAUGUCUGACUGUCCUUGAUUCCAAGGGCAUUUAAAAUUAGCCACUGGAUGAGAACCAUGAAAUGCCAUGACUCUUACAGCUCCCAUGAAAGACAUUGGAUGGAACUUAUCCUAACUGGACCAAAUUCUAAAAAAUUUUACAUGAUAUUAUAAUGAGUUGAAAGUUGAAAAAAAAAAGCUCUUCUAGAUUACCAAGAAUAAAACACAAAUUUCUAGCUGACUGAAUUAAUUCUCAUCUCUCUAUAGAAAGAUCAUAGAAAUUUUUUUUAUCAUGCAAAGAAAUAGCUAAAAAUUUACAAAAAUAUAGACGUGCAUUAGGCAGCUCAUGAAUAAAUGCGUUUUUUCCUUUUUUCCUCCAGAAUUUUGUGAUGUUUAUGGUACUUUUCGGCUUUUAAAAUUUUGUAUUUAAUCAGGAUUUAUUACUUCAUUGUAAGUAAAUAUUAAAUUUGUACUCCAUCUUUGUUUGUAAUUUUGUAUAUUUUUCAGUAAAAAGGACUCCCCAGAUUAUGUAAGCUUUAGGCCCCACAAAAUCUAGGCCUGUUGCUGUAUCCUUUCUAGAGCAGUGUUUCUCAAACUUCAAUGUGCAUUUGAAUCUCCUGGGGCUCCUGUUAAAAUAUAGCUUCUGAGAUGAUGCAUUUCUAACAGACUCCCAGGGCUGACACUGCCCAUCUGGGGACCACACUUUGAGAAUCAAAUAUCUAGAACAAUGGUUCUUACCUGGCUGUGCAUUGGGAUCAUUUAUAGUGCUUUUGGAAAAUACAUUGUGUCCAGGUCCCACCCAGUUCUCAGUAGGCUUGGAAUGGGGUCCUACACUUUUUUUUUUUAACUCCACAGUUUGGGAAAGAAGCCUUUUCAUAUAUUGUUGGUGGGAAUACAAAUUGAUACAGCCAUUUUUGAGCUUGAUUUGGCAAUAUCUUCCUUGGAGAAAUCAAAAGCCAGUUGGCAAGCCAGUCUGGAAAAGGCAGUUUACUGAUUCCCACCCGAGGGUCACAAAGCAGGUAUAGAAGGAUGGGCUUUGGCUGAAAUAUAUGAUGGGUACAGGUAUAUUCUCUAUAAUCCAGUAUUUCCACUGCUGAAAACGUAUCCUAGUAACAUUAUACAUAUCAAGCCUACAUAUAAAGUUGGUCAAUUCCAUAUUAUUUGUAGUAGGGGAAAACUGAAAGCAGUCUACAUGCCCAUCAAUAGAUUAUUCAAAUUAUGGAACAGUUUUCCAAUGACAAAACAAUAGCUAAUCUUAGUUAAGCAAUUAUUAUGUUAUGUAAGGUAGACAUUGUUCUACCUUAUUUAUAAGUAUUAAGUUAGUUUUUAUAACUAUCAUAUUUCCAUUUUACAAAUGACAUAAUUUAUAUUAUUGACAUGGGAAGAUGUCCAAGGAUAUAAUAAGCAAAAAGCAAGUAGCAAAACAUUAUGUAUAUUAUGCAUUACCAUUAUAAUAUACUAAAAAGUAAUGCACUUGAUUCUGAUGCACACUCCCCAGUAGGUAACAACUUAUCUAGUGUAAAAAUGAAAGAACAUUCUGGGCCGGGCACGGUGGCUCAUGCCUGUAAUCCCAGCACUUUGGGAGGCCCAGGUGGGCGGAUCACAAGGUCAGGAGAUCGAGACCAUCCUGGCUAACAUGGUGAAACCCCGUCUCUACUAAAAAUACAAAAAAAAAAUUAGCUGGGCGUGGUGGCCGGCGCCUGUAGUCGCAGCUACUCGGGAGGCUGAGGCA